GAUAUAAAAUCAAUAUUAUCAUGUCCAGGAAGAGUAACCGUUGUUAAAAGGAAAUACACAGGUUGCUUCCCUUGGCUCUUGUGCAGUGAAUCUGCCCAGGCUUAUGAAGUAAACAAAAUAAAGUAUGUCAACUAAAUUUAUAUCACAUAAUGUUAUAAAAUACCUUUCAUUUAAUAAAUAUAUUUGUCAUAUUACUUUUUAUGUAAAUAUGCGUUUGAAAUAUUUGACUUUAAAAUAUAUUCAGUCCUGUAUGAUCAUACAAAUAGGCGCGCGACAAAGCUGCAUUGACUCAAUUUCGAAAUUAUCAAGGUGAGCCAUUUGUCUGUAUUGGGUGGCCGAAACCGCGCUGAUGUGUGCCGGCGCAUUCUGAAGCAUUGCAUGUCAAAUGAGGUGGCCAACCAGUACAGCUGGCAUGGGAGGAAGAAAAAGGCAGUAUUUGGAAAACUUUCUAUUGGCUGAUGCUGUGCAGAAAGCUGUCAUGCGGUCCUUGAAAUGCACAGCUGCAGAAGUUGAACAUGAGUGCAGGGAAUGGUUUAGAACAGCCUCUGACCGUGACGGUGGAAGAAAAAAGAGGACAGCCAAAAUAAGUGAUGAAUAGUCCCAAUGAAUUUUAACUCGUGUGUGUUUUAACUUUUAAUUUAGUCUCCUGCUGCAAUUUGUUAUGAUGUAAAGGUCUCUUUGAACUUGAAAUUAAUGAUUUUACACAACUUUUCUUUUAAUAUGUAUACUGAUGGAAGCAGUGUAUAUUUUUUUUUUUUUUUUUUUGCCUUUAUUACCUAAAUAGCUGUAACUCUGUGUGUUACUUAGGUAAACGUAACUUUUCAAUAUAUUCUUGUUCUAAUUGCAGUGAUUUUUUUUGCUUAAAUUUGUUACAGCCUGUGCCUUUUUAAUUGGGAAAAUUAGCGCGAUAAACCGUGAAAUUGGGAAAAAUAGCGCGAUAAACCAUGAAAUUGGGAAAAAUUAAGCAUUAUAAAUAGGAUUAUAAGUAACAGAAGUGAUAUUGUUUUUAAGUGCAUGUUCAGGGAGUUUUCUAGAAAAGGAGUCUGGUCAAAUUGGGAUUUUUUUUAAUCAAUAAAAGUGGCAAGUUUGGGAAUGAUUAUGGACAAAAAUGACUAUAUUCAAGUUAUAUAUUUUGUAAGAUGUUUAAAAAAUAAAGUUGAGACCUUGGAAGUUGGGCUUUUUUUGGGAAAUUUUGGUCAGAUUUUUGGGAAAAAAACAUGUAAUUUUGCGAUUGGGAAGCAGCCGAAAAUCGGCUGUAAAUUUGAGCAAAAAAAAUCACUGAAUUGUUUUCAUUUGUCAUUUUUGAAGAAAACAAGUUUCAUGUAGUUUGUAUUAAUAUUGAAGACAAUUUUCUUGUAAUAUUUUUUAUUCAAAACUUUCUAGAAAUGCCCAUAAUUUAUGUCUAAGUUUAGGGGACAUACAAGGUGUUUAUUUCUGAAAAUACUCAAUUAUAAAAAUCAAUUCCCUCAAUUCAUUUUGAAUUUGAUAAGUGACAGAACUCAAUUAUUUUUAUUUUCAAGUGAUCAUUUCCUGGUGAAAACAAAUAAUUUUAAUAUAUGUUAGUUUAAGGUAUUUAUAACCAUAUGUAAAUAAGUCCCAGUAAACUACUCAAUUAUAUAUCAUUCAGCAAUAUAUUGCUCUGUCCUACUGCAAUGUAUUCAUUAACAAAUACUGGCUGCUUUAUACUGCAUAUCAUUAUUAGUUCUCUUUAAAGGAAUGGUCUGACUUAAUGGCUUUUUUUCAGUAUUUUGGGGAUGUGAUCCCAUUCCAUGAAAUUGGGAAAUGUUGUGUCAAUAUAUAUAUUUACCUGCAGUUCAGAAAAAGUACAACUGAUUAACUACAAGUCUUAUUCCACAUUUCACAGCUAGUAUUUACCAUUUAAGACUAUUCAACAAUGAGGAAUUGCUUGACUUGAUUUAGGGGGAAAAAAUGUGUUCUGCCAUUGACAACAUGGCCCAUUACCUUAAAGUGAGAUUUCUAGUCACUUGUACAUUUACAUUUUGUGCCAUUACUAUGUUUUGUUUUUUUUUGCUGGAUAGCAAUUUCCUGAAUUUACUUGUUACAAUUUUUGUGUAUCGUAUGACUGCUAUGUUGUAUUUUGCUGACUAGUCUUGUUACUAUUUUUUGUGUAUCAUAUGACUACAUUGUUGUAUUUUGCUGACUAGUCUUACUUGUUACUAUUUAUUGUGUAUCGUAUGACUACUAUGUUGUAUUUUGCUGACUAGUCUUAUUUGUUACUAUGUUUUGUGUAUCGUAUGACUACUAUGUUGUACUUUGCUGACUAGUCUUACUUGUUACUAUUUUUUGUGUAAGGUAUGACUACUUUGUUGUAUUUUGCUGACUAGUCUUAUUUGUUCUUAUUUUGUGUGUAUCUUAUGACUACUAUGUUGUAUUUUGCUAACUAGUCUUAAUUGUUACUAUUUUAUGGGUAUCAUACGCUAUCCAUUUUAAAGAAAGGGUUAUUUGAUUAAUUGCCAGGGUAUAUAGACCAGUUUUGAUAAUAUGGGUGAUAUGAACCAUUUAUACAUGCAUGUUUGGUAAUUUUCCAUGUAUACAAUAUGCAUGUUGGAUACGUUGGUUUUCUUCAUAAUUCUCUUAUUUUAUUUUCAUUUGCUGAAUAUUCUAUUACCAAAAUACAAAACUCAAGUCAUUUGGUCAUUUAACAUUUUGUUUCAAUGUGUUACUUUUUCAGUUUCUGUACCUGUAAAAUUAUAGAGUCUGUUUAAAUAAUUUCUUUUACAUUUGUUGUUAGUCAAUGUAUAUAUUAAUUAAUUUUACCCCAUUAGAAUAAAAAUGUUGGAAUUAGUAAUAAAUCAGCUUAAUAUUUUCAGUUUCAAGACAGUAGUAUAAUUAGCAAAUACUGUAUUCCAGUUUGGUUGAAAAGAAUGUAAAAAUAAAAUGUUGUCUGAAGAAAAUGUUCUUUCAUUUAUUUAAGAAACUGUUUUAGGCCCUUAACACUACCAACAACAAUUAAAAACAAUUGAGGCUAGACAGGGACUGAGGAAUGGUUAAAAGUAUGUCGGCACCAUGCUGGCUCAAGAAGGUAUCGCCGAUAUACAUACCAAUGUCGGGCCAACAUCGAGCCG